AGAGAGAGACAUGCGCGCAUAUCAAUAAGCGGAGGAAAAGAAACUAACAAGGAUUCCCUUAGUAACGGCGAGUGAAGCGGGAAGAACUCAAAUUUGAAAUCUUCAAGGUUUUACCUUGACGAAUUGUAGUUUAAAGAAGUGUUUUCUGCUGAAGUUUUGGUAAAAGUUCUUUGGAAUAGGACAUCAUAGAGGGUGAGAGUCCCGUAUUUGACCAUUAUUUUCAGCUUUGUGAUACACUUUCAAAGAGUCGGAUUGUUUGGGAAUGCAGUCCAAAAUGGGUGGUAAAUUUCAUCUAAAGCUAAAUAUUGGCGAGAGACCGAUAGCGAACAAGUACCGUGAGGGAAAGAUGAAAAGAACUUUGAAAAGAGAGUUAAACAGUACGUGAAAUUGUCAAAAGGGAAGCGUUUGACACCAGUGUUGUUUUCUCGAAAAUCAAUUAAAAAUGGCUCCGAUUUUGUAUUGUUGAGACCUUAAAAGCUCACUGUACAUUUUUCGUGUCUUUUUUAAUGCACUUUUCGUUUAACAAGUCAACAUCAGUUUCUUUUAGUUGUAAAAGGGUCAUUGGAAGGUGGCUUUCUUUUCGGAGAAAGUGUUUAUAGCCUUUGGCCUCUGCAAUCGAAGAGACUGAGGUCUGCAGCGUAGACUCUUCGGGGUUAGAUACAUUUGUGCUAAGUUAUAGCUUUUUAUAGACAACUUGUUGACUAUAAUUAGUCUUGUAGCUUACUCGCUUAUGCUAUUUUACCUACGCUUAGGAUGUUGAAGUCAUCGUAUCGCGC
rnacentral:rRNA from 1 species